UACAUGGGGUGCAAGCGUUGCUCGGAAUCAUUGGGCGUAAAGCGCGCGUAGGCGGUUACUUAAGUUGGAUGUGAAAGCCCUCGGCUUAACUGAGGAAGUGCAUCCAAAACUGAGUAGCUAGAGUACGAAAGAGGGUCGCGGAAUUCCCGGUGUAGAGGUGAAAUGUGUUGAUAUUGGAAGGAACACCGGAGGCGAAAGCGGUGUACUGGGGCUGGUCUGACGCUGAGGCACGAAAGCCAGGGGAGCGAACGGG
rnacentral:rRNA from 1 species